rnacentral:rRNA from 1 species
CGUGCAGGCGGUUUUGCAAGUCUGAUGUGAAAGACCUGGGCUUAACUCAGGGACCGCGUUGGAAACUGUGAGACUAGAAUCUUGGAGGGGGAGUUGGAAUUCCUAGUGUAGGGGUGAAAUCUGUUGAUAUUAGGAAGAACACCGGUGGCGAAGGCGAACUCCUGGCCGAAGAUUGACGCUGAGGCGCGAAAGCGUAGGUAGCAAACAGGAUUAGAUACCCUGGUAGUCUACGCUGUAAACGAUGUACACUUGGUGUUGGGCCGAUUAGGUUCAGUGCCGAAGCUAACGCGAUAAGUGUACCGCCUGGGGAGUAUGCCCGCAAGGGUGAA